rnacentral:rRNA from 2 species
GGGUUGUGAGGUUAAGCGACUAAGCGUACACGGUGGAUGCCUAGGCAAUCAGAGGCGAUGAAGGACGUGCUAAUCUGCGAUAAGCGUCGGUAAGGUGAUAUGAACCGUGAUAACCGACGAUUUCCGAAUGGGGAAACCCAGUGCAAUUCGUUGCACUAUCGUUUGAUGAAUACAUAGUCAAACGAAGCGAACCGGGGGAACUGAAACAUCUCAGUACCCCGAGGAAAAGAAAUCAACCGAGAUUCCCCUAGUAGCGGCGAGCGAACGGGGAGCAGCCCAGAGUCUUAAUCAGCAUUAGCAUCAGGAGAACGGUCUGGAAAGGCCGGCAGUAAAGGGUGAUAGCCCCGUAUCCGAAGGUGUUAGUGUUGUGAACUCGACGAGUAGGGCGGGACACGUGUUAUCCUGUCUGAAUAUGGGGGGGACCAUCCUCCAAGGCUAAAUACUCCUGAUUGACCGAUAGUGAACCAGUACCGUGAGGGAAAGGCGAAAAGAACCCCGGCGAGGGGAGUGAAAUAGAACCUGAAACCGUGUACGUACAAGCAGUGGGAGCCCCACCACCAAAGCAUUUUCUGGUGUUGAGGACAACUUUAAAGUGACAUUCAACACGCGUUGGCGGAGCGUUUUUUGCGACGCCCAACACACAAAACAAGCAGUGAAUGUGCUUUGGGGUGGGGUGACUGCGUACCUUUUGUAUAAUGGGUCAGCGACUUAUAUUCUGUAGCAAGGUUAACCGUAUAGGGGAGCCGUAGGGAAACCGAGUCUUAACUGGGCGAAUGAGUUGCAGGGUAUAGACCCGAAACCCGGUGAUCUAGCCAUGGGCAGGUUGAAGGUUGGGUAACACUAACUGGAGGACCGAACCGACUAAUGUUGAAAAAUUAGCGGAUGACUUGUGGCUGGGGGUGAAAGGCCAAUCAAACCGGGAGAUAGCUGGUUCUCCCCGAAAGCUAUUUAGGUAGCGCCUCGUGAACUCAUCUUCGGGGGUAGAGCACUGUUUCGACUAGGGGGUCAUCCCGACUUACCAACUCGAUGCAAACUACGAAUACCGAAGAAUGUUAUCACGGGAGACACACGGCGGGUGCUAACGUUCGUCGUGAAGAGGGAAACAACCCAGACCGCCAGCUAAGGUCCCAAAGUCAUAGUUAAGUGGGAAACGAAGUGGGAAGGCUCAGACAGCCAGGAUGUUGGCUUAGAAGCAGCCAUCAUUUAAAGAAAGCGUAAUAGCUCACUGGUCGAGUCGGCCUGCGCGGAAGAUGUAACGGGGCUAAACUAUGCACCGAAGCUGCGGCAGCGAUAUGUAAAUAUUGUUGGGUAGGGGAGCGUUCUGUAAGCCUGUGAAGGUGUACUGCGAGGUAUGCUGGAGGUAUCAGAAGUGCGAAUGCUGACAUAAGUAACGAUAAUGCGGGUGAAAAACCCGCACGCCGGAAGACCAAGGGUUCCUGUCCAACGUUAAUCGGGGCAGGGUGAGUCGACCCCUAAGGCGAGGCAGAAAUGCGUAGUCGAUGGGAAACGGGUUAAUAUUCCCGUACUGGUGAUAAUUGCGAUGGGGGGACGGAGAAGGCUAGGCUAUCCGGGCGACGGUUGUCCCGGUUUAAGGAUGUAGGCAGGUGAAUUAGGCAAAUCCGGUUCACUAUAUGCUGAGGUCCGACGACGAGUCACUACGGUGAUGAAGUAGCUCAUGCCCCGCUUCCAGGAAAAGCCUCUAAGCUCUAGAUUAUCAUUAAUCGUACCCCAAACCGACACAGGUGGUCAGGUAGAGAAUACUCAGGCGCUUGAGAGAACUCGGGUGAAGGAACUAGGCAAAAUGGUGCCGUAACUUCGGGAGAAGGCACGCUGGCGCUAGGUGAAGUCCCUCGCGGAUGGAGCUGAAGCCAGUCGCAGAUACCAGCUGGCUGCAACUGUUUAUUAAAAACACAGCACUGUGCAAACACGAAAGUGGACGUAUACGGUGUGACGCCUGCCCGGUGCUGGAAGGUUAAUUGAUGGGGUUAUCCGUAAGGAGAAGCUCUUGAUCGAAGCCCCAGUAAACGGCGGCCGUAACUAUAACGGUCCUAAGGUAGCGAAAUUCCUUGUCGGGUAAGUUCCGACCUGCACGAAUGGCGUAAUGAUGGCCAGGCUGUCUCCACCCGAGACUCAGUGAAAUUGAACUCGCUGUGAAGAUGCAGUGUACCCGCGGCAAGACGGAAAGACCCCGUGAACCUUUACUAUAGCUUGACACUGAACAUUGAGCCUUGAUGUGUAGGAUAGGUGGGAGGCUUUGAAGUGUGGACGCCAGUCUGCAUGGAGCCAACCUUGAAAUACCACCCUUUAAUGUUUGAUGUUCUAACGUAGCCCCGUUAUCCGGGGUGCGGACAGUGUCUGGUGGGUAGUUUGACUGGGGCGGUCUCCUCCCAAAGAGUAACGGAGGAGCACGAAGGUUGGCUAAGCAUGGUCGGACAUCAUGCGGUUAGUGCAAAGGCAUAAGCCAGCUUGACUGCGAGAGUGACGGCUCGAGCAGGUACGAAAGUAGGUCUUAGUGAUCCGGUGGUUCUGAAUGGAAGGGCCAUCGCUCAACGGAUAAAAGGUACUCCGGGGAUAACAGGCUGAUACCGCCCAAGAGUUCAUAUCGACGGCGGUGUUUGGCACCUCGAUGUCGGCUCAUCACAUCCUGGGGCUGAAGUAGGUCCCAAGGGUACGGCUGUUCGCCGUUUAAAGUGGUACGCGAGCUGGGUUUAGAACGUCGUGAGACAGUUCGGUCCCUAUCUGCCGUGGGCGUUGGAAGAUUGAAAGGGGCUGCUCCUAGUACGAGAGGACCGGAGUGGACGCACCACUGGUGUUCGGGUUGUCAUGCCAAUGGCAUUGCCCGGUAGCUAAGUGCGGAAGAGAUAACCGCUGAAAGCAUCUAAGCGGGAAACUUGCCUUGAGAUGAGUCUUCCCUGACUCUUUAAGGGUCCUAAAGGAACGUUUAAGACUAAGACGUUGAUAGGUUGGGUGUGUAAGCGUAGCGAUACGUUGAGCUAACCAAUACUAAUGAACCGUGAGGCUUAACCUGACAACACCGAAGGUGUUUUAG